rnacentral:rRNA from 1 species
AUUGAACGCUGGCGGCAGGCUUAACACAUGCAAGUCGAGCGGGGAUUGGGUGCUUGCACCUAAUCUUAGCGGCGGACGGGUGAGUAAUGCUUAGGAAUCUGCCAUUUAGUGGGGGACAACAUUCCGAAAGGGAUGCUAAUACCGCAUACGCCCUACGGGGGAAAGCAGGGGAUCUUCGGACCUUGCGCUAAAUGAUGAGCCUAAGUCGGAUUAGCUAGUUGGUGGGGUAAAGGCCUACCAAGGCGACGAUCUGUAGCGGGUCUGAGAGGAUGAUCCGCCACACUGGGACUGAGACACGGCCCAGACUCCUACGGGAGGCAGCAGUGGGGAAUAUUGGACAAUGGGCGGAAGCCUGAUCCAGCCAUGCCGCGUGUGUGAAGAAGGCCUUUUGGUUGUAAAGCACUUUAAGCGAGGAGGAGGCUACCUGGAUUAAUACUCUGGGAUAGUGGACGUUACUCGCAGAAUAAGCACCGGCUAACUCUGUGCCAGCAGCCGCGGUAAUACAGAGGGUGCGAGCGUUAAUCGGAUUUACUGGGCGUAAAGCGUGCGUAGGCGGCUGAUUAAGUCGGAUGUGAAAUCCCUGAGCUUAACUUAGGAAUUGCAUUCGAUACUGGUCAGCUAGAGUAUGGGAGAGGAUGGUAGAAUUCCAGGUGUAGCGGUGAAAUGCGUAGAGAUCUGGAGGAAUACCGAUGGCGAAGGCAGCCAUCUGGCCUAAUACUGACGCUGAGGUACGAAAGCAUGGGGAGCAAACAGGAUUAGAUACCCUGGUAGUCCAUGCCGUAAACGAUGUCUACUAGCCGUUGGGGCCUUUGAGGCUUUAGUGGCGCAGCUAACGCGAUAAGUAGACCGCCUGGGGAGUACGGUCGCAAGACUAAAACUCAAAUGAAUUGGCGGGGGCCCGCACAAGCGGUGGAGCAUGUGGUUUAAUUCGAUGCAACGCGAAGAACCUUACCUGGCCUUGACAUACUAGAAACUUUCCAGAGAUGGAUUGGUGC